CAUGAAGCUGGAAUCGCUAGUAAUCGCGGAUCAGAAUGCCGCGGUGAAUACGUUCCCGGGUCUUGUACACACCGCCCGUCACACCAUGGGAGUCGGGAAUGCCCGAAGCCAGUGACCCAAGCGAGAGCAGGGAGCUGUCGAAGGCAGGCCGGAUAACUGGGGUGAAGUCGUAACAAGGUACC
rnacentral:rRNA from 1 species